rnacentral:ncRNA from 2 species
AUCUUAUUAAGAGUGGUGGAGGGACUGGCCCUUUGAAACCCGGCAACCUGAAAAAAAUUUUAUAUAAGUUUUUUCGUUGGUGCUAAAUCCUGCAAGAGAAUAUCUUGAAAAAUGAGAG